rnacentral:rRNA from 1 species
GACGAACGCUGGCGGCGUGCCUAAUACAUGCAAGUAGGACGCAGUUGCGAACGGGUGCGUAACGCGUGGGUAACUACCUAUUAGAGGGGGAUCACUAUUGGAACCGAUAGCUAAUACCGCAUACUAGUAGAUGGAUCUGCGUUGUAUUAGCUAGUAGGUAGGGUAAUGGCCUACCUAGGCAACGAUACAUAGCCGACGUGAGAGGGUGAUCGGCCCCACUGGGCCUGGGACACGGCCCAGGCUCCUACGGGGGGCAGCAGUAGGGAAUCUUCGGCAAUGGGGGGAACCCUGACCGAGCAACGCCGCGUGAGUGAAGAAGGUUUUCGGGUCGUAAAGCUCUGUUGUUAAGGAAGCGGUACUUAACCAGAAAGGGACGGCUAACUACGUGCCAGCAGCCGCGGUAAUAC